UACGUAGGGGGCAAGCGUUGUCCGGAUUUAUUGGGCGUAAAGAGCGUGUAGGCGCCAUACAGGUCAGCUGUGAAAACUCGAGGCUCAACCUCGAGACGUCGGUUGAAACCGUAUGGCUAGAGUCCGGAAGAGGAGAGUGGAAUUCCCGGUGUAGCGGUGAAAUGCGCAGAUAUCGGGAAGAACACCCGUGGCGAAGGCGGCUCUCUGGGACGGUACUGACGCUGAGACGCGAAAGCGUGGGGAGCGAACGGAGUAGAAUCCGAUG
rnacentral:rRNA from 1 species